rnacentral:rRNA from 1 species
CCUACGGGAGGCAGCAGUGAGGAAUAUUGGUCAAUGGGCGUAAGCCUGAACCAGCCAAGUCGCGUGAGGGAUGAAGGUUCUAUGGAUCGUAAACCUCUUUUAUAAGGGAAUAAAGUGUGGGACGUGUCCUGUGUUGUAUGUACCUUAUGAAUAAGGAUCGGCUAACUCCGUGCCAGCAGCCGCGGUAAUACGGAGGAUCCGAGCGUUAUCCGGAUUUAUUGGGUUUAAAGGGGGGUUAGGCGGCCUUUUAAGUCAGCGGUGAAAGUCUGGGGCGCAAUCAUAGAAUUGCCGUUGAAACUGGGGGUCUUGAGUAUGUUUGAGGCAGGCGGAAUGCGUGGUGUAGCGGUGAAAUGCUUAGAUAUCACGCAGAACCCCGAUUGCGAAGGCAGCCUGCCAGGCCAUGACUGACGCUGAUGCACGAAAGCGUGGGGAUCAAACAGGAUUAGAUACCCUUGUAGUC